rnacentral:rRNA from 1 species
UACGUAGGUGGCAAGCGUUGUCCGGAAUUAUUGGGCGUAAAGCGCGCGCAGGCGGUCCUUUAAGUCUGAUGUGAAAGCCCACGGCUCAACCGUGGAGGGUCAUUGGAAACUGGGGGACUUGAGUGCAGAAGAGGAAAGCGGAAUUCCACGUGUAGCGGUGAAAUGCGUAGAGAUCCGGAGGAACACCAGAGGCGCAGGCGGCGCUCUGGGCUGGUACUGACGCUGAGACGCGAAAGCGUGGGGAGCAAACAGG